GAUGAACGCUGGCGGCGUGCCUAAUACAUGCAAGUCGAGCGAACAGACGUGGAGCUUUCUCCUUUGACAUUAGCGGCGGACGGGUGAGUAACACGUGGAUAACCUACCUAUAAGACUGGGAUAACUUCGUUGAACCGGAGCUAAUACCGGAUAACAUGUUUAACCUCAUGGUUCAACAGUGAAAGACGGUCUUGCUGUCACUUAUACAUUGAUCCGCGCCGCAUUAGCUGGUUGGUAAGGUAACGGCUUACCAAGGCAACGAUGGGUAGCCGACUUAGUAGAGUAACGGCCACAACUGGACUGAGAAACGGGUCAAAACUCUACGGGGGGGAGCAGUUGGGAAACUUUCGGAAAGGAGGAAAAGCCGAAGGGGGAAACGCGGGGGGAGGAAAGAAGGUUUUGGGUUGUAAAGACCUGGUUAUCGGGAAGGAACGAAUGUGUAAGAAAAGAUGCAAGGAUUGACGGUACCGAAACAGAAAGCCACGGCUAACUACGUG
rnacentral:rRNA from 1 species